AGAGUUUGAUCAUGGCUCAGAUUGAACGCUGGCGGCAGGCCUAACACAUGCAAGUCGAGCGGUAGCACAGAGAGCUUGCUCUCGGGUGACGAGCGGCGGACGGGUGAGUAAUGUCUGGGAAACUGCCUGAUGGAGGGGGAUAACUACUGGAAACGGUAGCUAAUACCGCAUAAUGUCGCAAGACCAAAGUGGGGGACCUUCGGGCCUCAUGCCAUCAGAUGUGCCCAGAUGGGAUUAGCUUGUAGGUGGGGUAACGGCUCACCUAGGCGACGAUCCCUAGCUGGUCUGAGAGGAUGACCAGCCACACUGGAACUGAGACACGGUCCAGACUCCUACGGGAGGCAGCAGUGGGGAAUAUUGCACAAUGGGCGCAAGCCUGAUGCAGCCAUGCCGCGUGUGUGAAGAAGGCCUUCGGGUUGUAAAGCACUUUCAGCGGGGAGGAAGGCGAUAAGGUUAAUAACCUCAUCGAUUGACGUUACCCGCAGAAGAAGCACCGGCUAACUCCGUGCCAGCAGCCGCGGUAAUACGGAGGGUGCAAGCGUUAAUCGGAAUUACUGGGCGUAAAGCGCACGCAGGCGGUCUGUCAAGUCGGAUGUGAAAUCCCCGGGCUCAACCUGGGAACUGCAUUCGAAACUGGCAGGCUAGAGUCUUGUAGAGGGGGGUAGAAUUCCAGGUGUAGCGGUGAAAUGCGUAGAGAUCUGGAGGAAUACCGGUGGCGAAGGCGGCCCCCUGGACAAAGACUGACGCUCAGGUGCGAAAGCGUGGGGAGCAAACAGGAUUAGAUACCCUGGUAGUCCACGCCGUAAACGAUGUCGAUUUGGAGGUUGUGCCCUUGAGGCGUGGCUUCCGGAGCUAACGCGUUAAAUCGACCGCCUGGGGAGUACGGCCGCAAGGUUAAAACUCAAAUGAAUUGACGGGGGCCCGCACAAGCGGUGGAGCAUGUGGUUUAAUUCGAUGCAACGCGAAGAACCUUACCUGGUCUUGACAUCCACAGAACUUAGCAGAGAUGCUUUGGUGCCUUCGGGAACUGUGAGACAGGUGCUGCAUGGCUGUCGUCAGCUCGUGUUGUGAAAUGUUGGGUUAAGUCCCGCAACGAGCGCAACCCUUAUCCUUUGUUGCCAGCGGUCCGGCCGGGAACUCAAAGGAGACUGCCAGUGAUAAACUGGAGGAAGGUGGGGAUGACGUCAAGUCAUCAUGGCCCUUACGACCAGGGCUACACACGUGCUACAAUGGCAUAUACAAAGAGAAGCGACCUCGCGAGAGCAAGCGGACCUCAUAAAGUAUGUCGUAGUCCGGAUUGGAGUCUGCAACUCGACUCCAUGAAGUCGGAAUCGCUAGUAAUCGUAGAUCAGAAUGCUACGGUGAAUACGUUCCCGGGCCUUGUACACACCGCCCGUCACACCAUGGGAGUGGGUUGCAAAAGAAGUAGGUAGCUUAACCUUCGGGAGGGCGCUUACCACUUUGUGAUUCAUGACUGGGGUGAAGUCGUAACAAGGUAACCGUAGGGGAACCUGCGGUUGGAUCACCU
rnacentral:rRNA from 1 species